rnacentral:rRNA from 1 species
CGGACGGGUGAGUAAUGUAUGGGGAUCUGCCUGAUGGCGGGGGAUAACUACUGGAAACGGUAGCUAAUACCGCAUAAUGUCUACGGACCAAAGCGGGGGACCUCCGGGCCUCUUGCCAUUGGAUGUGCCCAGAUGGGAUUAGCUAGUAGGUGGGGUAACGGCUCACCUAGGCGACGAUCCCUAGCUGGUCUGAGAGGAUGACCAGCCACACUGGAACUGAGACACGGUCCAG